rnacentral:rRNA from 1 species
CCUACGGGUGGCAGCAGUGGGGAAUAUUGCACAAUGGGGGAAACCCUGAUGCAGCGACGCCGCGUGAGCGAUGAAGUAUUUCGGUAUGUAAAGCUCUAUCAGCAGGGAAGAAAAUGACGGUACCUGACUCAGAAGCCCCGUCUAACUACGUGCCAGCAGCCGCGGCAAUACGUAGGAGGCAAGCGUUAUCCGGAUUUACUGGGUGUAAAGGGAGCGUAGACGGUCCUGCAAGCCAGAGGUGAAAGCCCGGGGCUCAACCCCGGGACUGCAUUUGAAACUGUAAGGCUAGAGUGUAGGAGCGGCAGGCGGAAUGUCUGGUGUAGCGGUGAAAUGCGUAGAGAUUAGGAGGAACACCAGUGGCGAAGGCGGCCUGCUGGACGAUGACUGACGUUGAGGCUCGAAAGCGUGGGGAGCAAACAGGAUUAGAUACCCCUGUAGUC